GCUUCGUGACUUUAAGCAUCUUUUAUGUAACUCCUCCCAUCAGCGGUCAGCUGACUUUCAACAAAGAUAUUCUGCCGCCGUUGUCUACUGCAUGAAGAUAACAACAUAGCUAGGUGUUUUCUCUUUAUUUGGACCCUCCAAGCUGCUCCUGCUCCCGUUCCGACCCGCAGCUCCAGUUCCAGCGCCGACAAAGCUGAUGUCCAGCAAACGCAGCACUCUCCCUUCUCAAAUGUCUUAUUUAAGGAACGUAAACAUGUAUAUACCUUGAGUUGUUUGCUCUGGGUUAAAGGGAAGCUUGCCCUGUUUUGCUUUUUUAUAAACAGUUUGUAUUGAUCUGCUGUUACUAAUAAAAACAUUAAUUACCAACGUGAA